rnacentral:rRNA from 1 species
GCGAACGGGUGAGUAAUGCAUCGGAACAUAGUCCAUUCGUGGGGGAUAGCCCGGCGAAAGCCGGAUUAAUACCGCAUACGCCCUGAGGGGGAAAGCGGGGGACCUGCAAGGGCCUCGCGCGAAUGGGUUGGCCGAUGUCCGAUUAGCUAGUUGGUGGGGUAAAGGCUUAACAAGGCGAUGAUCGGUAACUGGUCUGAGAGGAUGAUCAGCCACACUGGGACUGAAACACGGCCCAGACUCCUACGGGAGGCAGCAGUGGGGAAUUUUGGACAAUGGGGGAAACCCUGAUCCAGCCAUUCCGCGUGAGUGAAGAAGGCCUUCGGGUUGUAAAGCUCUUUUGUCCGGAGCGAAACGGUUACGGUGAAUAUCCGUGACUACUGACGGUACCGGAAGAAUAAGCACCGGCUAACUACGUGCCAGCAGCCGCGGUAAUACGUAGGGUGCGAGCGUUAAUCGGAAUUACUGGGCGUAAAGCGUGCGCAGGCGGUUUUGUAAGCCAGAUGUGAAAUCCCCGGGCUUACCUGGGAAUGGCAUUUGGGACUGCAAGGCUUGAGUGCGGCAGAGGAGACUGGAAUUCCUGGGUGUAGCAGUGAAAUG